rnacentral:rRNA from 1 species
AACGAACGCUGGCGGCAUGCCUAACACAUGCAAGUCGAACGAGACCUUCGGGUCUAGUGGCGCACGGGUGCGUAACGCGUGGGAACCUGCCCUUAGGUUCGGAAUAACUCCCCGAAAGGGGUGCUAAUACCGGAUAAUGUCUUCGGACCAAAGAUUUAUCGCCUUUGGAUGGGCCCGCGUUGGAUUAGCUAGUUGGUAGGGUAAAAGCCUACCAAGGCGACGAUCCAUAGCUGGUCUGAGAGGAUGAUCAGCCACACUGGGACUGAGACACGGCCCAGACCCCUACGGGAGGGAGGAGGGGGGAAUUUUGGAAAAUGGGCGAAAGCCUGAUCCAGCAAUGCCGGGUGAGGUAUGAAGGCCUGAGGGUUGUAAAGCUUUUUUACCCGGGAUGAUAAUGACAGUCCCGGGAAAAUAAGCCCCGGCUAACUCCGU